AUGGAAAGAAAGAGGAAAGCCAAAGGAACAGAAGAAUUCUUAAAUACGCUAAGGGAUCUCAGUAUGCGUAUGCAAAGAAAAACAUUUGAAAUUGAAAACCACCACCUGGACCACUUCACAAGCAACCCACUGUUAAAUGAAUCAUAUAUUCAAAAUUCUACUACAAAAUUGUUGUGCAGUGUUUUGACACACAAUGCUGUUAAUGUUAAAAAUUCCUGAAGAUUUAAAGGAGAGUUUCUCUCUCUAUAUAUAUAUGAAUAAAAUACUCUUGGCAUACUACUGCA
rnacentral:lncRNA from 1 species